GUCUACGGCCAUGCCACCCUGAACAAGCCUGAUCCUGUCUGAUCUCGGAAGCUAAGCAGGGUCGGGCCUGGUUAGUACUUGGAUGGGAGACCACCUAGGAAGUCCAGGUGCUGUAGGCG
rnacentral:rRNA from 1 species